rnacentral:rRNA from 1 species
AGAGAUGUGACCCUCUCUUCGGAGUCCGGAACACAGGUGCUGCAUGGCUGUCGUCAGCUCGUGUCGUGAGAUGUUGGGUUAAGUCCCGCAACGAGCGCAACCCCCGUCCUUAGUUGCUACCAUUUAGUUGAGCACUCUAAGGAGACUGCCGGUGAUAAGCCGCGAGGAAGGUGGGGAUGACGUCAAGUCCUCAUGGCCCUUACGGGCUGGGCUACACACGUGCUACAAUGGUGGUGACAGUGGGAAGCUAAGAGGCAACUCUUCGCAAAUCUCAAAAAGCCGUCUCAGUUCGGAUUGGGCUCUGCAACUCGAGCCCAUGAAGUUGGAAUCGCUAGUAAUCGUGGAUCAGCAUGCCACGGUGAAUACGUUCCCGGGCCUUGUACACACCGCCCGUCACACCAUGGGAGUUGGUUUUACCUGAAGACGGUGCGCUAACCGAAAGGGGGCAGCCGGCCACGGUAGGGUCAGCGACUGGGGUGAAGUCGUAACAAGGUAGCCGUAA